GCCCGCCCUAACCAAUUGAUCAGCUUCCUUACAAUGUGCUGUCCAAUAAUCGCCGCAAAAAAGGCCACAACGGUGAAGAAAAGAGCAUAUGGCACAGGGAACCGGUCCAAGAGGUAGUAUUCAACAACAGACAUGGAAGAUGAGAACAUCAUUGCAAAGGUGGCUGUGGCACUUGAGACCUGUGGAGGGAUUCCAAGCUCCAAGAACAGAG
rnacentral:misc_RNA from 1 species